GACGAACGCUGGCGGCGUGCUUAACACAUGCAAGUCGAACGGAAAGGCCCUGCUUUUGUGGGGUGCUCGAGUGGCGAACGGGUGAGUAACACGUGAGUAACCUGCCCUUGACUUUGGGAUAACUUCAGGAAACUGGGGCUAAUACCGGAUAGGAGCUCCUGCUGCAUGGUGGGGGUUGGUAAGUUUCGGCGGUUGGGGAUGGACUCGCGGCUUAUCAGCUUGUUGGUGGGGUAGGGGCUUACCAAGGCUUUGACGGGUAGCCGGCCUGAGAGGGUGGCCGGCCACAUUGGGACUGAGGGAGGGCCCAGACUCCAACGGGAGGCAGCAGUGGGGAGUAUUGCGCAAUGGGCGGAAGCCUGAUGCGGCAGCGCCGCGUGCGGGAUGACGGCCUUCGGGUUGUAAACCGCUUUCGCCUGUGACGAAGCGUGAGUGACGGUAAUGGGUAAAGAAGCACCGGCUAACUACGUG
rnacentral:rRNA from 1 species